rnacentral:lncRNA from 1 species
CCAGAAACCUCCCUCUGUCCCUUCCCACAUGCCUACAUCAUACUUAGGUGCUGGCGAUUCAUGGACUGACCUGCAUUAUCCUCUGCAGCGUGGAUGACAAGAGAGAGGCUGAGUCGAGUGAGUCCCUGACAGACUGGAGGCCGAGCCUAUUGAAAUCCCUUUUGGAACCAGGCAAGCAGUAAAUAAAUACAGACAUGAAUAGAUGGAAAUGGAAUUUCUACGACCCAAACACCCACACCAUCAG